GAAUUCGCCCUUAGAGUUUGAUCCUGGCUCAGGACGAACGCCGGCGGCACGCUUAACACAUGCAAGUCGAACGAGAGAAGAGAAGCUUGCUUUUCUGAUCUAGUGGCGGACGGGUGAGUAACACGUGAGCAAUCUGCCUUUCAGAGGGGGAUACCGAUUGGAAACGAUCGUUAAUACCGCAUAACAUAAUUGAACCGCAUGAUUUGAUUAUCAAAGAUUUAUCGCUGAAAGAUGAGCUCGCGUCUGAUUAGCUAGUUGGUAAGGUAACGGCUUACCAAGGCGACGAUCAGUAGCCGGACUGAGAGGUUGAUCGGCCACAUUGGGACUGAGACACGGCCCAGACUCCUACGGGAGGCAGCAGUGGGGAAUAUUGCACAAUGGAGGAAACUCUGAUGCAGCGAUGCCGCGUGAGGGAAGAAGGUUUUAGGAUUGUAAACCUCUGUCUUUGGGGACGAAAAAUGACGGUACCCAAGGAGGAAGCUCCGGCUAACUACGUGCCAGCAGCCGCGGUAAUACGUAGGGAGCGAGCGUUGUCCGGAAUUACUGGGUGUAAAGGGAGCGUAGGCGGGAUCGCAAGUCAGAUGUGAAAACUAUGGGCUUAACCCAUAAACUGCAUUUGAAACUGUGGUUCUUGAGUGAAGUAGAGGUAAGCGGAAUUCCUAGUGUAGCGGUGAAAUGCGUAGAUAUUAGGAGGAACAUCAGUGGCGAAGGCGGCUUACUGGGCUUUAACUGACGCUGAGGCUCGAAAGCGUGGGGAGCAAACAGGAUUAGAUACCCUGGUAGUCCACGCCGUAAACGAUGAUUACUAGGUGUGGGGGGACUGACCCCUUCCGUGCCGCAGCAAACGCAAUAAGUAAUCCACCUGGGGAGUACGACCGCAAGGUUGAAACUCAAAGGAAUUGACGGGGGCCCGCACAAGCAGUGGAGUAUGUGGAUUAAUUCGAAGCAACGCGAAGAACCUUACCAGGUCUUGACAUCGUAUGCAUAGCUCAGAGAUGAGUGAAGUCUCUUCGGAGACAUAUAGACAGGUGGUGCAUGGUUGUCGUCAGCUCGUGUCGUGAGAUGUUGGGUUAAGUCCCGCAACGAGCGCAACCCUUACUGUUAGUUGCUACGCAAGAGCACUCUAGCAGGACUGCCGUUGACAAAACGGAGGAAGGUGGGGAUGACGUCAAAUCAUCAUGCCCCUUAUGACCUGGGCCUCACACGUACUACAAUGGCUGUCAACAGAGGGAUGCAAAGCCGCGAGGUGGAGCGAACCCCUAAAAGCAGUCUUAGUUCGGAUUGUAGGCUGCAACUCGCCUGCAUGAAGUCGGAAUUGCUAGUAAUCGCGGAUCAGCAUGCCGCGGUGAAUACGUUCCCGGGCCUUGCACACACCGCCCGUCA
rnacentral:rRNA from 1 species